rnacentral:rRNA from 1 species
ACUCCUACGGGAGGCAGCAGUGGGGAAUAUUGCACAAUGGGCGCAAGCCUGAUGCAGCCAUGCCGCGUGUGUGAAGAAGGCCUUCGGGUUGUAAAGCACUUUCAGUCGUUAGGAAGGAUGGUGAGUGUUAAUAGCACUAUCAUUUGACGUUAGCGACAGAAGAAGCACCGGCUAACUCCGUGCCAGCAGCCGCGGUAAUACGGAGGGUGCGAGCGUUAAUCGGAAUUACUGGGCGUAAAGCGCAUGCAGGUGGUUUGUUAAGUCAGAUGUGAAAGCCCGGGGCUCAACCUCGGAAUAGCAUUUGAAACUGGCAAGCUAGAGUACUGUAGAGGGGGUAGAAUUUCAGGUGUAGCGGUGAAAUGCGUAGAGAUCUGAAGGAAUACCGGUGGCGAAGGCGGCCCCCUGGACAGAUACUGACACUCAGAUGCGAAAGCGUGGGGAGCAAACAGGAUUAGAUACCCUGGUAGGAUAG